rnacentral:lncRNA from 1 species
CGAGAUUUCAACGAGACUGAAACGUCAGAAGAAUACAUCCUUAAAAUGUUGCUGAUGAUGGUUUUUGUACGACCGUGGUCGUAUAUUGGUAUCACGUCGUCGUCGUCAGCGUCGUCCGAAGACGGAUGGUUUCCGGAUAAUAACUUUAGUAUAAGUUAAAUAGAAAUCAAUAAAAUUUUAACACAAUGUUUUUAACCACAAAAGGAAGGUUGGGAUUGAUUUUGGAGGUUAUGGUCCCAUCGGUUUAGGAAAAAAGGGGCCCAAAACAUACAUUUAUCUAGUUUCAGGACAAUAAGUUGAGUAUAAACAUUUUAAUUACUCUGAAAUUGUACCACAAUAUUCAUACUAUUAAGUAGAAGGUUGGGAUUUAAUUGAUGGGUUAUUGGGCAAACAGUUUAGGAAUUACAGGCCAAAAAGGGACCAAAAAACAACAUUUUUGAUGUUUCGGGACUAUAACUUAUGUUUAACUGUAUGGAUCUCUCUGACAUUGUACCACAAGGUUCCAUAUAAUGAAGGGAAGGCUUGGUGCCAGUUUUGGGUUAAUAUCCCUGAACAUUUAGGAAUAAGGGGCCAAAAAGGGUAAAAAAGAAGCAUUUUUCUAGUUUACAAUCAAUAACUUGUGUUUAAGUGUAUGUAUCUCUCUGAAAUUAUACUACAAGGUGUCUUACUACAAAGGAAAGGUUGGAACUGUGUUUUGGGGUUCCUGCUCCAAGGGAGUUACAAUAAGUGAGGGGCCAAAAUAAGCAUUUUCGUAGUUUUCAGUCAAUAACUUGUGUUUAAGUGUAUAAAUCUCUCUGAAAUUAUACCACAAGUUUCCAUACUACAAAGGGAUGGUUAUAGGGGGUAAUGGAUAAAAUCACUAAGCAAUUAGGGGCAAAAAAGGGGGGAAACAAGGGUUUAUCUGGUUAAAGGACAAUUUAGACAAUUUAAAAGCAGUAUAAGGGAGGUAAUCCAAUUCCAAUUAAAAUUUAAAGAAUACUGUUAUAUAUAUAUGUUUGAUUACAUGAUCACCUCCCUUGCACUGCUUGAAAAUUAUGUUAUAGGAAGUGAUAAUUGUCUUGAGAUGUGUAGCUG